AUUGAACGCUGGCGGCAGGCCUAACACAUGCACGUCGAGCGAGCGGUGGACGGGUGAGUAAUGCCUAGGAAUCUGCCUGGUAGUGGGGGAUAACGUCCGGAAACGGGCGCUAAUACCGCAUACCCUCUGAUGUGCCCACAUGGGAUUAGCUCGGAGGUUGGGUAAAGGCUUACCUAGGCGACGAUCCCUAGCUGGUCUGAGAGGAUGACCAGCCACACGGGAACUGAGACACGGUCCAGACUCCUACGGGAGGCAGCAGUGGGGAAUAUUGCACAAUGGGCGCAAGCCUGAUGCAGCCAUGCCGCGUGUAUGAAGAAGGCCUUCGGGUUGUAAAGUACUUUCAGCGGGGAGGCGUUACCCGCAGAAGAAGCACCGGCUAACUCCGUGCCAGCAGCCGCGGUAAUAC
rnacentral:rRNA from 1 species